ACGGGAGGCAGCAGUGAGGAAUAUUGGUCAAUGGGCGGAAGCCUGAACCAGCCACGUCGCGUGAAGGAUGAAGGUAUUAUGUAUUGUAAACUUCUUUAGACGCAGAGAAAUAAGGAGGUCGUGACCUCUGAUGCUAGUAUGCGUAGAAUAAGGAUCGGCUAACUCCGUGCCAGCAGCCGCGGUAAUACGGAGGAUCCGAGCGUUAUCCGGAUUUAUUGGGUUUAAAGGGUGCGCAGGCGGCCCUGUAAGUCAGCGGUGAAAGCGUGGAGCUCAACUCCAUCCCGCCGUUGAUACUACAGGGCUUGAUUGCGGUAGAGGUUGGCGGAAUUCGUCGUGUAGCGGUGAAAUGCAUAGAUAUGGCGAAGAACACCGAUGGCGUAGGCAGCUGACCAGGCCGUAAAUGACGCUCAUGCACGAAAGUGCGGGGAGCGAACAGGAUUAGAUACCCUGGUA
rnacentral:rRNA from 1 species